GAAUAUUGACAACGUCAGAUAGCUCAGAUAGACAGAACCGCUUGUAGACGCUGCGUCUACGAAAAUAUAUUUUUAUUUUGAUUGUGAUUCAUUUAACGAGCGCGUUACGUCGGCCGCCGCGUGCUUCGGGAGCAAUUAAAAACUUUAUUUACAAUCAAAGUGACGUGUGCGAGUUUUCGACAUUUUUGUGUGGUAACCUCUUAGGUUUUUUUUCGCCGUGUUUUGAGAACUGCAAGACAGAUCGAUAUGUGCAAGACGUACUACAGAUGACUCUGAACGGUUUCACAGCCUCGUGUUGUUUUCUGAUGCGGUCGCUGUGGUGAUACAGGGCGGGAUGCAGGGCGGCGGCGCGCCUGCCCCCGACGCCGAUCAGGCCCAGUUCGAGGCAGACAAGAGGGCAGUAUACAAACAUCCUCUGUUCCCCCUACUGGCGUUGCUCCUGGAGCGAUGCGAGCAGGCCACGGCGGGAGCAGAGCCUCCCGCGGCGGACGCCUUCGGGGCGGACCUGCAGGCGUUCGUGCAGCACCAGCGGAGGGACAGAAGGCCGUUCCUAGUCGACGAUCCUGAGAUAGAUGGACUGAUGAUUAAGAGCAUACAGGUCCUCAGGAUCCAUCUGCUAGAACUGGAGAAGGUGCAGGAGCUGUGUCGAGACUUCUGCGGUCGGUACAUAGCGUGCCUCAAGACUAAAAUGCAGAGCGAAAACCUUCUCAGGACAGAUUACACUGCAGGGGGAGUUGAGAGCAAUAACAAUGUCUCCGGCUCUAUGGACGACCAUUCCAGCACAUCUAACUCGCCACAGUACCAGAGCCCCGCGGCGCCGCUGCCGCCGCCGGCCGCGUACCCGCCGGUGUUCGCGCCGCACGCGCCGCACGCCGACGCGCCCUACGUGCCGCACGCGCCGCACCGCGACCAGCCUUCACUAGUCGUCCAAGGCUCCACGCCAAUUGGUCAGAUUGGCGUUGGGUUGCUGCCCACUGAUGCCUAUACCGGCACGAACUCGAACAACUCGUGUUCGUCGGUGUCGGGGUCGCCGCCGCCCGAGGAGGAGUGCGCGGAGGACGGCAGCGGCAAGCGCGGCGUGCUGCCGCGACACGCCACGCAGGUCAUGCGCGCCUGGCUCUUCCAGCACCUCGUGACGCACGGACGAAAUGUUGCAGCAUCCGUACCCUACCGAGGAAGAGAAGCGCACACUAGCGGCGCAGACCCGGCUCACGCUGCUGCAGGUGAACAACUGGUUCAUCAACGCGCGCCGGCGCAUCCUGCAGCCGAUGCUGGACUGCGCUGACAAACCUGGUGGCAAGAAGAGUAAAAAUGGUUCGUCCAUAAAUAAAAGGUACUGGCCCGAUGCUCUCUCCAAUCCACAGUUCACCGCGGGUCUCCUCUCAUCAUCAGAAGACGAGGAUCAAGACGGUGAUCAUUCCGGUGAUGAACAAGACCCGCAGAACGACGACCAGUCGUCGGAACAUUCAAACUAUUCAAUACAACAGAGCAUGCAUUGAAUAUAGUCGCAAACUGUACGACCA
rnacentral:misc_RNA from 1 species